GACGAGGUGGCCGAGUGGUUAAGGCGUUGGACUGCUAAUCCAAUGUGCUCUACACGAGUGGGUUCGAAUGCCAUUCUCGUCG
rnacentral:tRNA from 1 species